ACGCACUCGCCCCCCGGAGCCCUGCCGGGGAGGCGCGGGGCUAGGCGCCCGCGCGGCGUGAAUAUUCAUCAGGGGUGGGGCCCGAACAAUGGCCCGGCCGCGGGCCGCUGCCCGACACGACGCCCGGCGCCCGGCCCCGCUCGGCGCUAUCGAAAAUGGCAGGAGCAGGGAUGAAACGGGCUGGGAUUUCCCCGGGGAGGUACUCAGGGCUAAAUCCGUGACACGGUUGUAGUUGCGGGAUUCGCUGAGCAUCACUUGGCUACCCGGCCAAGUCCAAAAUAGCUCCUGUGGUGACUGGGUGUCGCGUUCCUGGCGGCGCUCAGUAGGUUCUCAGAUGAAGCUGAUGUUGCUGUCUAUAGGGAUCAUACGUUGAGAAAAGCCACCUCACUGUGAUGGAAAUCCAAGGCCCUUCCUUCAUGACUGGACUUCACAAACAUCAUCAUCAUCAUCAUCGUUAUCUUCCAAUUCUUAUGCACAAAAUUGUGCCCCUACCCCGCCCCUAUACAUACACACACACACACACACACACACACACACACACACACCUCCUGUUGAGGGCUUUAACAGUACUCCAUUUACAGCCCUGGGUAAUGUUACCUCGUUUUAGGUAAGGAAACCAAAGUACUGGGAGUUCCUUAAAGCACAGCCUAGAAGUGGAGCAGGGAUGUUCAUCAGGUUAGCCAAUUCCCAAAAUACAGGUCUCUGAUUCAGCUAAGUUAGUCUCCUCUACCCAGAAUAGGUUUUGACUCUCCUGCUUCCCAGUAGUUUGGUUUUUGUGUAUUUUUGACUAUGAGAAUCCCUUGUAAGGCUAAAAUAUAUUGAGAGGUUCCUGGUGUCCAUUGAUUAGGAAAAUCAUAGAAACCAAAGUGUCCCUGUGAA